rnacentral:rRNA from 1 species
GAGGGUGCGAGCGUUAAUCGGAAUCACUGGGCGUAAAGCGCACGUAGGUGGCGUGGUAAGUCGGGGGUGAAAUCCCACAGCUCAACUGUGGAACUGCCUUCGAUACUGUCAUGCUUGAGUAUCGGAGAGGGUGGCGGAAUUCCAGGUGUAGGAGUGAAAUCCGUAGAUAUCUGGAAGAACACCGGUGGCGAAGGCGGCCACCUGGACGAAAACUGACGCUGAGGUGCGAAAGCGUGGGUAGCAAA